GUUAGCCUAGUGGUCAUGGUUUCGGACUCGUGUUUCGGUGAGUCGCGAGUUCGAUCCUUGGCAACU